AUACGUAGGGGGCGAGCGUUGUCCGGAAUGAUUGGGCGUAAAGGGCGCCUAGGCGGCCCGGUAAGUCUGGAGUGAAAGUCCUGUUUUUAAGAUGGGAAUUGCUUUGGAUACUGUCGGGCUUGAGUGCAGGAGAGGUAAGUGGAAUUCCCAGUGUAGCGGUGAAAUGCGUAGAGAUUGGGAGGAACACCAGUGGCGAAGGCGACUUACUGGACUGUAACUGACGCUGAGGCGCGAAAGUGUGGGGAGCAAACAGGAUUAGAUACCCUGGUAGUCCACACUGUAAACGAUGAAUGCUAGGUGUAGGGGGUAUCGACCCCUUCUGUGCCGCAGUCAACACAAUAAGCAUUCCGCCUGGGGAGUACGGCCGCAAGGUUGAAACUCAAAGGAAUUGACAGGG
rnacentral:rRNA from 1 species